AGAACGUCAUGAUUAUCUCACAAAACGUGCAGUACGCAAAGUUGUUGAAAUCGUCAAGAAUCUGCUGAUAAAGCUCAAUGAAGAAACGAGAAGUACUGAAAUAGAUGGCUUUAAGCUCCAGCUCAAAUACCGCAGAGCAUUAAUAGGAAUAGCUAGAGUAGAUUCAUCUAUUUUCCAAAUGGCCUGGCUGCUGAUCCCGGAGAGAGGAGCCAUAUUUUCAACUUAGAUGUUACUAAUUUCUCUGAAUACUUGCAAGAUGUUUUGUUGGGAUAAUGUUUAUUUAUAAUUUAGUAUGGCUUUUGGAUCGGCCAACUUGUGUAGCUUGGCCUAGACUGUGUUAUCUGCAGUAACAUUACAGAUUUGGUUACUGUAGUAAUAGUAUGAAGACUAAAGACUUGAUUGAGACAGGUCCGGGAGCUAUGUCUCUGUGAUACUUUUUCUACCUUUUAAGUCUUAUGAAAGUGGGUGUAGGUGUCUUUUUAA